GUCUGCGGCCAUGCCAUCCUGAACAAGCCCAAUCCCGUCUGAACUUGGAAGCUAAGCAGGGUCCGGCCUGGUUAGUACUUGGGUGGGAGACCACCUCGGAAGACCAGGUGCUGUAGGUG
ensembl:rRNA 5S_rRNA 5S ribosomal RNA